rnacentral:pre_miRNA from 7 species
CCCUCUGCCCGCUCCUGGCUGCCCGGCAGCAGUUCUUCAGUGGCAAGCUUUAUGUCCUUCUCUAGUAGCUAAAGCUGCCAGUUGAAGAACUGUUGAAUGUAGCCACGUUCAUCGCUGCAAUGU